UACGAAGGGGGCUAGCGUUGUUCGGAAUUACUGGGCGUAAAGCGUGCGCAGGCGGUUCUAUAAGCCAGAUGGGAAAUCCCCGGGCUCAACCUGGGAACUGCAUUUGUGACUGUAGAGCUGGAGUGCGGCAGAGGGGGAUGGAAUUCCGCGUGUAGCAGUGAAAUGCGUAGAUAUGCGGAGGAACACCGAUGGCGAAGGCAAUCCCCUGGGCCUGCACUGACGCUCAUGCACGAAAGCGUGGGGAGCAAACAGG
rnacentral:rRNA from 1 species